AGAGGUGUUAAUGGACAUCAUA
rnacentral:miRNA from 1 species